GGCCCCGUGGUGUAAUGGUUAGCACGGCGGACUCUGAAUCCGCCAAUCCGAGUUCGAGUCUCGGCGGGGCUU
rnacentral:tRNA from 1 species